UACAGAGGUGGCAAGCGUUGUUCGGAAUUACUGGGCGUAAAGGGCGCGUAGGCGGUUCGAUAAGUCCCGUGUGAAAGCCCCGGCUCAACUGGGGAACUGCACGGGAAACUGACGGACUUGAGUUCGGGAGAGGGAAGCGGAAUUCCGGGUGUAGCGGUGGAAAUGCGUAGAUAUCUGGAGGAACACCGGUGGCGAAGGCGGCAUCCUGGACCGGCAUUGACGCUGAGGCGCGAAAGCUAGGGGAGCAAACGGG
rnacentral:rRNA from 1 species